UCCGUCACUGUUACUACUGCUAACCUAACGUUAUUAGAAAGUAAUAGUGGCAAGU
rnacentral:pre_miRNA from 1 species